rnacentral:rRNA from 1 species
GCGAGAAUCCCCCCCGCCGAAAGCCCAAGGGUUCCCAGGCCAGGUGACUCCUCCUGGGGUUAGUCGGGCCCUAAGCCGAGGCCGAAAGGCGUAGGCGAUGGAAAACAGGCACAAAGAUUCCUGUACCACCGUGUCACCGUUUGAGCAAUGGGGUGACGCAGAAAGUUAAGGCAGCUGCCUAUCGGAUGGCAGUCUAAGCGUGCGAGUGGCUUCCUAGGAAAAUCCGGGAAGCAUAUACACUGAGGCGUGACGGGACGUGGAUCCUUCGGGUGAAGCGGAUUGCCUGAUACUACACUGCCAAGAAAAACCUCUAGCGAGGUGUCCGGUGUCCGUACCGUAAACCGACACAGGUGGGCGAGAUGAGUAUUCUAAGGCGCUCGGGAGAACCACUCUUAAGGAACUCGACCAAUUGACCCCGUAACUUCGGAAGAAGGGGUGCCCUCGCCGUCAUGGGCAUACGCCCGGCAGCGGUUGAGAGCGGCACUGAAAUGGCUCAGGCGACUGUUUAUCAAAAACACAGGUCUCUGCUAAGUCGUAAGACGACGUAUAGGGGCUGACGCCUGCCCAAUGCCGGAAGGUUAACGGGAGAGGUUAGCGUAAGCGAAGCUUUGAACCGAAGCCCCGGUUAAUGGCGGCCGUAACUAUAACGGUCCUAAGGUAGCGAAAUUCCUUGUCGGGUAAGUUCCGACCUGCACGAAUGGCGUAACGAUCUGAGCAUUGUCUCAAGGGUGGUCCCGGUGAAGUUGUAUUACCUGUGAAGAUGCAGGUUACUCGCAGUAGGACGGAAAGACCCUGUGCACCUUCACUGCAGAUUGAUAUUGGGUUUAGUUGUGGUUUGUAUAGGAUAGGUGGGAGUCAUUGAAGCUGGCGCGUUAGCGUCGGUGGAGACAACCUUGGAAUACCACCCUGACCUUAACUGAAUUCUAACUCCGAACCCGUGAAGCCGGGCGGAGGACAGUGUCUGUCGGGCAGUUUGACUGGGGCGGUCGCCUCCCAAAGAGUAACGGAGGCGCCCCGAGGUUCCCUCAGCACGGAUGGAAAUCGUGCGUCGAGUGUAAAGGCAAAAGGGAGCUUAACUGCGAGACCAACAAGUCGAGCAGAUACGAAAGUAGGGCUUAGUGAUCCAGCGGUCCCAUAUGGAAGGACCGUUGCUCAACGGAUAAAAGGUACGCCGGGGAUGACAGGCUGAUAACCCCCAAGAGUUCACAUCGACGGGGUUGUUUGGCACCUCGAUGUCGGCUCGUCACAUCCUGGGGCUGAAGCAGGUCCCAAGGGUUCGUCUGUUCGCCGAUUAAAGUGGCACGCGAGCUGGGUUCAAAACGUCGCGAGACAGUUUGGUCCCUAUCCACUGCGGGCGUAGGAAAUUUGCGGGAAGCCGUCUCUAGUACGAGAGGACCGAGAUGGACAUACCCCUGGUGUUCCGGUUGUCACGCCAGUGGCAUCGCCGGGUAGCUAUGUAUGGACGGGAUAAGCGCUGAAAGCAUCUAAGCACGAAGCCCCUCCCAAGAUAAGAUUUCCCAGACCAUAAGGUCUCUAAAGGGCCCUCGAAGACUACGAGGUAAUAGGCUGGAGGUGUAAGCGUAGCGAUACGUUAAGCUGACCAGUACUAAUCAGCCCGUGCGGCUUGG